UACGUAGGAGACGAGCGUUGUCCGGAGUUACUGGGCGUAAAGGGUGCGCAGGCGGCCCUGCGCGUCGCGAGUGAAAUCUCCCGGCUCAACUGGGAGGGUGGUCGCGAGACGGCAGGGCUUGAGGCUCGGUGAGGGGCGUGGAAUUCCGGGUGGAGCGGUGAAAUGCGUAGAUAUCGGAAGGAACGCCGGUGGCGAAAGCGACGUGCUGGACCUCUUCUGACGCUGAGGCGCGAAAGCUAGGGGAGCAAACAGG
rnacentral:rRNA from 1 species